GACGAACGCUGGCGGCGUGCCUAAUACAUGCAAGUAGAACGCUGAAGAGAGGAGCUUGCUCUUCUUGGAUGAGUUGCGAACGGGUGAGUAACGCGUAGGUAACCUGCCUUGUAGCGGGGGAUAACUAUUGGAAACGAUAGCUAAUACCGCAUAACAAUGGAUGACACAUGUCAUUUAUUUGAAAGGGGCAAUUGCUCCACUACAAGAUGGACCUGCGUUGUAUUAGCUAGUAGGUGAGGUAACGGCUCACCUAGGCGACGAUACAUAGCCGACCUGAGAGGGUGAUCGGCCACACUGGGACUGAGACACGGCCCAGACUCCUACGGGAGGCAGCAGUAGGGAAUCUUCGGCAAUGGGGGCAACCCUGACCGAGCAACGCCGCGUGAGUGAAGAAGGUUUUCGGAUCGUAAAGCUCUGUUGUAAGUCAAGAACGAGUGCGAGAGUGGAAAGUUCACACUGUGACGGUAGCUUACCAGAAAGGGACGGCUAACUACGUGCCAGCAGCCGCGGUAAUACGUAGGUCCCGA
rnacentral:rRNA from 1 species